rnacentral:tRNA from 1 species
GGGAAGGUGGUUCAGUGGUAGAAUGCUUGCCUUGCAUGCAUGAGGCCCUGGGUUUGAUCCCU